AAAAAAAUGUCAAAUCAUGAAUUAAGAAUCUCAAAUAAGAGACUAGAGUUACUCAUGCUCUAACAAACCACUUGUACAGUUGUGCUUUCUCCCUUUUCUUAUCAAACACAAAACAAAAGCUAUCAAGAGGACAAAAGCUAGUGUGUUUUAUUGCUUUGUUAAAGAUAAAAAUCGAAUUCUGUUGAAAUAAAAUUUUAGGUGUCUAA
rnacentral:lncRNA from 1 species